rnacentral:rRNA from 1 species
GACGAACGCUGGCGGCGUGCUUAACACAUGCAAGUCGAGCGGUAAGGCCCUUUCGGGGGUACACGAGCGGCGAACGGGUGAGUAACACGUGGGUGACCUGCCCUCAGCUCUGGGAUAAGCCUGGGAAACCGGGUCUAAUACCGGAUAUGACUCCAUGACGCAUGUUGUGGGGUGGAAAGCCUUGUGCGGCUGAGGAUGGGCCCGCGGCCUAUCAGCUUGUUGGUGGGGUGAUGGCCUACCAAGGCGAAGACGGGUAGCUGGUCUGAGAGGAUGAUCAGCCACACUGGAACUGAGACACGGUCCAGACUCCUACGGGAGGCAGCAGUGGGGAAUAUUGCGCAAUGGGCGAAAGCCUGACGCAGCCACGCCGCGUGAGCGAUGAAGGACUUCGGUUCGUAAAGCUCUGUGGGGGANAAGAAUCAAGCCGGUGAAGAGCCGGCCCUGACGGUAUCCCUUUAGCAAGCACCGGCUAACUCCGUGCCAGCCGCCGCU